rnacentral:sRNA from 1 species
GCCGGAUGUGGGGGCGCACACCUGUCAUCCCAGUGGCUCUGGAGGCUGAGACAGGAGGAUCGAGAGUUCAAAGCCAGCCUUGGCAAUGGCGAGGAGCUAAGCAACUCAGUGAGACCCUGUCUCUA